rnacentral:rRNA from 1 species
CCUACGGGUGGCUGCAGUGGGGAAUAUUGGACAAUGGGCGCAAGCCUGAUCCAGCAAUACCGCGUGUGUGAAGAAGGCCCUAGGGUUGUAAAGCACUUUCAAUUGGGAGGAAAACCUGUCGGUCAAUACCCGGCAGCUUGACAUUACCUUUAGAAGAAGCACCGGCUAACUCCGUGCCAGCAGCCGCGGUAAUACGGAGCGUGCAAACGUUAAUCGGAGUGUCCGGGCGCGAAGCGUUAAGUGGCGUGUGAAAGCCCCGGGCUUAACCUGGGAACUGCAUUUGAAACUGGCGGACUUGAGUUGAGUAGAGGGGAGUGGAAUUUCAGGUGUAGCGGUGAAAUGCGUAGAUAUCUGAAGGAACACCAGUGGCGAAGGCGACUCCCUGGACUCAAACUGACGCUGAGGUACGAAAGCGUGGGUAGCAAACAGGAUUAGAUACCCGGGUAGUC